CACGCUGUAAACGAUGGAUGCUAGCCGUCAGCCAGCAUGCUGGUUGGUGGCGCAGCUAACGCAUUAAGCAUCCCGCCUGGGGAGUACGGCCGCAAGGUUAAAACUCAAAGGAAUUGACGGGGGCCCGCACAAGCGGUGGAGCAUGUGGUUUAAUUCGACGCAACGCGAAGAACCUUACCAGCCCUUGACAUGGACCGGAAUGCCCGCAGAGACGUGGGCAGCCGCAAGGUCGGUCCACAGGUGU
rnacentral:rRNA from 1 species